rnacentral:lncRNA from 1 species
AUGGGAUUUAAGGCCCUUCCACCCAAACCACAGCAUGACUCCACGAUAUGGAAUGUGGCGUGCAUUUUCUCUCGCCUGUGCAUGCUAAACCUGAAUUUUAGCACCGACAGAGGCUCCUGCACCUCUCACCCCUCCCUGACCUCGAUCCCAGCAGAGCCUGGAUCCCCAAAAUUGCCAGAACAGGGAGAAGAUAAAAACGGGGAGCUGCCCUUUGCCCAGCUGUCCCCUCCCGUGUCCUUGUCCCCGGUGACCCCAGAGCCUCCCCCUUCCCAUCCCCGUGCCCGGGACUCCUCUCCUCCCUCCGCAGCUCCUCCCGCAGCCGCGAUUUGCAGCUCCAGACGCAUCCUGCGGCCACACGCAGAGCCAAUAAUCACUGGACAGAGGGAAUUCUGCAGGGAAGGGGCUGCGCUGCCUCCACCCCCGGAACUGGAUUGAACCUGAUCCUCAUUAGCCUGAAACCCAUUUCAAUUCAGCCAGGCCGGGCUCCUCCUUUGUCUUUCCUUUAACUGGACGCUCCCGCUGCUAAAUGGGCAGCGUGACCACGGCCAAGGCCCUGAGAAAAGGGGUUGGGAAGUGCAGGAAUAACAGAAUUCCUGGUAAAUAAGGGGAAUAAUCAGGCUCUUCCUCUUUGUGGCCACCCCCGAUUCCUGGCGCUCACCUCCCAUCCAUUUCUUCCCCUCUGUGGGAUUUCAUGGGCCCGGUCCUCAUUCCUGUCCCCAUUCCUGUCCCCAUUCCUGUCCCCAUUCCCCCAUCCCCUGUUCCUAUUCCCUGUCCCCAUCCCCUGUCCCUUCUCCUUCUCCUCCCUUUGGCCUUUGUGCCCGGCCUGGAAAUUCCUCCCUAAAAGGAGAAUAUUGGGAAUUCUCUGCUCUUUAUCUCAUGCACUGAGAUAAAUGUGUGACGCAACUGGGGACCCACACAUCAAUUAAUUAAUUAAUUAAUUGGGCUGUCACGCACAAAUUAAUUGGCCGACACCAAUAAAUUAAUUCUGCACCCAUGCA